ACAGUUGUAGCCCAGGGUAGUCUUGAACUUGUAAUUCUCUCUCAUCAGCUUCAGAGUUUAUGUGGGCCUUCACGCCCAGAUGCGUGUGAGCCUUCACGCCCAGAUGCAUGUGGGCCUUCACGCCCAGAUGCGUGUGAGCCUUCACGCCCAGAUGCGUGUGGGCCUUCACGCCCAGAUGCGUGUGUCUUGGUUAGGGUUUCUAUUGCUGGGAAGAGACCAUGACCAUGGCAACUCCGUAAAGAAAAACGUUCAAUUGGGCUGGCUUAUGUUCAGUGGUUUAGUCCAUUAUCAUCAUGGUGGGAAGCAUGGCAGCGCCCAGGCAGGCCUGGUGCCUGUGGAGGAAAUGAUCAUUGUGCUUCUGAAUGGGCAGGCAGCAGAAGUGAAUGUCUGAGCCAGAGGCAGACUUGAGCUUUGAGAUUUCAAAGCGACCUCAAAGUGACACACCUAUUCCAACAAGGCCGCAUCUCCUAACGGCGCCACUCCCUGUGGGCCAAUGGGGGGGCCAUUUUCUUUCAGACCCUCACAGUCUGUGUUUGUGUCUGUGGAGGAUUGCCUGCAUGAGUAAGGGGUUGUUUACUUGAGCAAGGGGCACUUACAUUGACUAGCUAGCUGCACCACUGAGAAAUAGGACUGCCUCCCUCUCAGCCAUGAGCUGCCAGGCUCUCCUCAGGCUGAGUGUUAGUUUAACUAAACUAACUUCAAAGCCCAGGAGUUCAAGACCAUUUUUGGACAAUGUAGUGACCUUCCCCAUCCCCCAGGGGAAAGAAGGGGAUUGGGAGAGGAGGAAGGGUGUCU
rnacentral:lncRNA from 1 species